rnacentral:rRNA from 1 species
GAUUAGAGUUUGAUCCUGGCUCAGAGUGAACGCUGGCGGCAUGCCUAACACAUGCAAGUCGAACGGCAGCACAGCAGUAGCAAUACUGUGGGUGGCGAGUGGCGGACGGGUGAGGAACACAUCGGAAUUUGCCCAGUCGUGGGGGAUAACGUAGGGAAACUUACGCUAAUACCGCAUACGACCUUACGGUGAAAGCGGGGGAUCGCAAGACCUCGCGCGGAUGGAUGAGCCGAUGUCGGAUUAGCUAGUUGGUGGGGUAAAGGCCUACCAAGGCGACGAUCCGUAGCUGGUCUGAGAGGAUGAUCAGCCGCACUGGGACUGAGACACGGCCCAGACUCCUACGGGAGGCAGCAGUGGGGAAUAUUGGACAAUGGGGGCAACCCUGAUCCAGCAAUGCCGCGUGUGUGAAGAAGGCCUUCGGGUUGUAAAGCACUUUUAUCCGGAACGAAACGUGCGGGGUGAAUAGCCUCGUAAA